GCAGGCCAUGGUGAGGUCUGCCUUUCACCCCUGAAACUGGGGAAGGCUGAGGCUGGUGCAUCCUUUGAGCUCAGGAAUUUUCAGCAUCAGCAGAGCUAAGUUAACUGGGUGUUCACUCUCAGUCUGGUACCAAUAUAGUGAGCCCCUGGGAGCAGGGGCCCACCAGGCUGCUUAAGGAAGGCCAAACCAAUGUAGGCCAGAAAUGGAGCAGAUCAAAACUUCAGUACCCAUCAGGAGUGGGAUGGGGCUAAUGAGUGACCACUGUACUUUCAGCCUAGGUGAGAGAGAUCUAGUCAA
rnacentral:SRP_RNA from 1 species